rnacentral:rRNA from 1 species
CACGUAGGGCGCGAGCGUUGUCCGGAAUUAUUGGGCGUAAAGAGCUUGUAGGCGGUUUGUCGCGUCUGCUGUGAAAAUCCGGGGCUCAACCCCGGACUUGCAGUGGGUACGGGCAGACUAGAGUGUGGUAGGGGAGACUGGAAUUCCUGGUGUAGCGGUGAAAUGCGCAGAUAUCAGGAGGAACACCGAUGGCGAAGGCAGGUCUCUGGGCCACUACUGACGCUGAGAAGCGAAAGCAUGGGGAGCGAACAGG